GCCAUGUGUUAAAGAGAAAUUUGUUAUCUUAUGGAAACAUAUAAACUCUAAGAUAAAUUACUUGAUAAACGAAGCGAAUUGAAAUAUCUAAGUAGCUUCAGGAAAAGAAAUCAAAAGAGAUUUUAUGAAUAGUGUGAACGAAAAUAAAAUAGCCUAUUAAUAAGUAAAAUGGUAGAAAAACUGUUUGAAAAAUAAAUGUCAAUUAGUUUUAUUAUUAAGACUAACUCUGGGGAACCUUCCUCAAAGGCUAAAUAUAACACAUGAGCAUCAGAGAAUUAGUACCGUAAGGGAA
rnacentral:ncRNA from 1 species